rnacentral:rRNA from 1 species
GAUGAACGCUAGCUACAGGCUUAACACAUGCAAGUCGAGGGGCAGCAUGAACUUAGCUUGCUAAGUUUGAUGGCGACCGGCGCACGGGUGAGUAACACGUAUCCAACCUGCCGAUGACUCGGGGAUAGCCUUUCGAAAGAAAGAUUAAUACCCGAUGGCAUAGUUCUUCCGCAUGGUAGAACUAUUAAAGAAUUUCGGUCAUCGAUGGGGAUGCGUUCCAUUAGGUUGUUGGCGGGGUAACGGCCCACCAAGCCUUCGAUGGAUAGGGGUUCUGAGAGGAAGGUCCCCCACAUUGGAACUGAGACACGGUCCAAACUCCUACGGGAGGCAGCAGUGAGGAAUAUUGGUCAAGGGACGAGAGUCUGAACCAGCCAAGUAGCGUGAAGGAUGACUGCCCUAUGGGUUGUAAACUUCUUUUAUACGGGAAUAAAGUGAGGCACGUGUGCCUUUUUGUAUGUACCGUAUGAAUAAGGAUCGGCUAACUCCGUG